rnacentral:misc_RNA from 1 species
GACGGAGGGAGCUAGCGUUGUUCGGAAUUACUGGGCUUAAAGGGCACGUAGGUGGUUUCUUAAGUUAGGCGUGAAAGCCCCGGGCUCAACCUGGGAAUAGCGCUUAAUACUGGGAGACUAGAGAUCGGUAGAGGGAAAUGGAAUUCCUAGUGUAGAGGUGAAAUUCGUAGAUAUUAGGAAGAACACCAGAGGCGAAGGCGAUUUCCUGGGCCGAAACUGACACUGAGGUGCGAAAGCGUGGGGAGCAAACAGG